AACCGCGAUGACGAGUCGCGACGCUUCCCUCUGAGCGCGAAUCGGAUGGAGAGUAAUGAGUCAAAUCAUCCGCUCUUCAUCAUUGAUGACCGUUCCUGCUGUGUCUCACAGCCAGGAGGAGGGAGGUGUGAGCAGAGCGGC
ensembl:snoRNA U3 Small nucleolar RNA U3